rnacentral:lncRNA from 1 species
ACUGCCAUCUAGAUUUAGAACCCAAUGGGUCACACACAUAUAGAAAUUAGCCAAGGAUCCUUUUGAAAAAGGUUGAUUAGAAUUUUGGAUUCAAUUAGGGUUCCGGUAAGUAUGCUAGCACAUGUGGAAAUCCUUGCUCCUUUGGAGACCAAUUUGGUCCCAUCCCUUGCUAAUUAGAUAGCCCAAUUUGGUAGAUAUUUGGGUAAGGUCAUGAUACCUAAAAGCAACCUAAAUUAGGGCACUACAUCCCAUGUUAACACCAAAUAUGAAGAGUCCA